rfam:TPA: Bos taurus chromosome 17, whole genome shotgun sequence.
CCUGGUGGCUCAGACGGUAAAGCGUCUGCCUGCAAUGCGGGAGACCUGGGUUCGAUUCCUGGGUCAGGA